GGGGGGGGGGGGGGGGGGGGCGGGGGGGUGCGGGUGGGGGGGGGGCGGGGAGCGUGCUGCUGGGUUCAGGGGCGGGCGGGUGGGUCGUGCCGCGGGCCCUGCCUGGUCGUGGGGGAUGGGGUGCGUGACAGGGCGCUCCUGCGGCAUACGCCCCUCGUGCGAAAGUGGUGCGUCUUGUGGCCUCACGCUCUCGCAUGCUCCUCUGUCGGAUUAGCUGGUUGGUGGGGUAAAGGCCUCCCAAGGCGACGAUCCGUAACUGGUCUGCGAGGAUGAUCAGUCACACUUGAACUGAGACACGGUCCAGACUCCUACGGGAGGCAGCAGUGGGGAAUAUUGGACAAUGGGCGAAAGCCUGAUCCAGCCAUGCCGCGUGGGUGAAGAAGGUCUUCGGAUUGUAAAGCACUUUAGGUUGGGAGGAAGAGCAGUAAGUUAAUACCUCGCUGUUUUGACGGUACCAAAAGAAUAAGCACCGGCUAACUUCGUG
rnacentral:rRNA from 1 species